rnacentral:rRNA from 1 species
GACGUAGGAGGCGAGCGUUGUCCGGAUUCAUUGGGCGUAAAGAGCGCGCAGGCGGCUUGGUAAGUCGGAUGUGAAAUCCCGAGGCUCAACCUCGGGUCUGCAUCCGAUACUGCCCGGCUAGAGGUAGGUAGGGGAGAUCGGAAUUCCUGGUGUAGCGGUGAAAUGCGUAGAUAUCAGGAGGAACACCGGUGGCGAAGGCGGUUCUCUGGGCAUUACCUGACGCUGAGGAGCGAAAGUGUGGGGAGCGAACAGG